AGCUCAGAUUGUGAUGGACCUGGAAUGCGACACCAGUUACUCUUAAGUCAAGAACCAAAUGAAGCACCAGAGUACAGAUUAUGGAGGUAUCUGAAGUUGAACUAACUGGAAGCAGGGAACCAUACUAAUAAAGUUCCUUUAGGUUCCUUGUAAAGAUGAACCCAGGGAAGGAUCGAAAGUGGAGAAGACCAGAUCAAGAAAGACCACAUCAAGAUCUGCGGUCAGUUCAAAGGAUGUUUUGCAUUGGACUGUUUUUUUUGGAUUUGACCCUUGCUCGCCCCUGACCUCACUCUUGGACUGCCCUGUUGGAUUUUCAGUUUAUUUUAUUUAUUUAUUUAUUUAUUGGUUUUGGGUAGAUGCUAAUAAAUAUUUAGUUGUAAUUAUUUAAAUAAUAUGUUUUUGUUAAAUAUGCGAUUUCUGUGUUUGUUCUGUCUACUCAUACUUGUUUAUCUUUUUUCUGUAAUUAUCAUUUGUUUAUUUGACCCCUGCCUCGCCUCUGAUCUUGUUUUUGGAUUGCCCUUUAUAUACAUUUUUAAUUAUUGGUUCUGGUUAUAUGGUUAUAAAAUAUUUGUUAAUUUAAUUAAUAUGCAUUUUAUAAAAAAAUAUUUUUUUUUCUGUGUUUAAUCUGUAUCUAUUUAUCUAAUUUGUAUAUACAUUUGUGUUUGUAUGUUCUUCUUAUUCUGUAUAUCCACUUACCUAAUUUUAACCUUUAUAUAUAUUUAUUUGCAUUUAAUUUGUGAUAAUUCUGUAUGCAUUUAUUUAUCUAAUUCAUAUAUUUAUUUGUAUUGCUUUGAUCAAUCUGUUGUUGUUUUUUUUUGUAUCCAUCUAUUUAUAUAAUUUAUAUAAAUUAUAUAUUUGUAUUUAUCAAUUUAUAUGCUUCCUUUAAAGCAAUUUUUUUAAAUAAAGCAAUUUA
rnacentral:lncRNA from 8 species